rnacentral:rRNA from 1 species
GACGAACGCUGGCGGCGUGCUUAACACAUGCAAGUCGAGCGGAAAGGCCACUUCGGUGGUACUCGAGCGGCGAACGGGUGAGUAACACGUGAGUAAUCUGCCCUUGGCUUUGGGAUAGCCACCGGAAACGGUGAUUAAUACCGGAUACGACCACUCCAGGCAUCUGGUGGUGGUGGAAAGUUUUUCGGCCAGGGAUGUGCUCGCGGCCUAUCAGCUUGAUGGUGAGGUAAUGGCUCACCAUGGCUUCGACGGGUAGCCGGCCUGAGAGGGUGACCGGUCACACUGGGACUGAGACACGGCCCAGACUACUACGGGAGGCAGCAGUGGGGAAUAUUGGACAAUGGGCGGAAGCCUGAUCCAGCAACGCCGCGUGAGGGAUGACGGCCUUCGGGUUGUAAACCUCUUUCGGUAGGGACGAAGCGCAAGUGACGGUACCUACUAAAGAAGCACCGGCCAACUACGU